rnacentral:snRNA from 1 species
GUGCUCACCUUGACAGCACAUAUGCUAAAACUGAAAUUAUAGAGAGAAGAUUAGUAUGGCUUCUGUGCAAAGAUGACAUAUAAAAUUAAAAUUCACACGGAACUGUG